UACGUAGGUGGCAAGCGUUGUCCGGAUUUACUGGGCGUAAAGAGCGCGCAGGCGGUCGACCAAGUCGCGUGUGAAAGCCCCCGGCUCAACUGGGGAGGGUCACGCGAUACUGAUCGACUCGAAGGCAGGAGAGGGUAGUGGAAUUCCCGGUGUAGUGGUGAAAUGCGUAGAUAUCAGGAGGAACACCUGCGGUGUAGACGGCUUACUGGACGGUAACUGACGCUGAGGCACGAAAGCGUGGGUAGCAAACAGG
rnacentral:rRNA from 1 species